rnacentral:rRNA from 1 species
UUUGGCCUACGGGGGGCAGCAGUGAGGAAUAUUGGUCAAUGGACGGAAGUCUGGACCAGCCAUGCCGCGUGCAGGAAGACGGCUCUAUGAGUUGUAAACUGCUUUUGUACAAGGGUAAACCUGAAUACGUGUAUUCAGCUGAAAGUACUGUACGAAUAAGGAUCGGCUAACUCCGUGCCAGCAGCCGCGGUAAUACGGAGGAUCCAAGCGUUAUCCGGAUUUAUUGGGUUUAAAGGGUGCGUAGGCGGUCCGGAAAGUCAGCGGUAAAAGCCCGGGGCUCAACCCCGGCGAGCCGUUGAAACUGU